rnacentral:rRNA from 1 species
GAUUGCAGUCUGCAACUCGACUGCAUGAAGCCGGAAUCGCUAGUAAUCGCGGAUCAGAAUGCCGCGGUGAAUACGUUCCCGGGUCUUGUACACACCGCCCGUCACACCAUGGGAGUCGGAAAUGCCCGAAGCCGGUGGCCUAACCGAUAAGGGAGGAGCCGUCGAAGGCAGGUCUGAUGACUGGGGUGAAGUCGUAACAAGGUACC